GACGAACGCUGGCGGCGUGCUUAACACAUGCAAGUCGAACGGAAAGGCCCUGCUUUUGUGGGGUGCUCGAGUGGCGAACGGGUGAGUAACACGUGAGUAACCUGCCCUUGACUUUGGGAUAACUUCAGGAAACUGGGGCUAAUACCGGAUAGGAGCUCCUGCUGCAUGGUGGGGGUUGGAAAGUUUCGGCGGUUGGGGAUGGACUCGCGGCUUAUCAGCUUGUUGGUGGGGUAGUGGCUUACCAAGGCUUUGACAGGUAGCCGGCCUGAGAGGGUGACCGGCCACAUUGGGACUGAGAUACGGCCCAGACUCCUACGGGAGGCAGCAGUGGGGAAUAUUGCACAAUGGGCGGAAGCCUGAUGCAGCAACGCCGCGUGCGGGAUGACGGCCUUCGGGUUGUAAACCGCUUUCGCCUGUGACGAAGCGUGAGUGACGGUAAUGGGUAAAGAAGCACCGGCUAACUACGUGCCAGCAGCCGCGGUGAUACGUAGGGUGCGAGCGUUGUCCGGAUUUAUUGGGCGUAAAGGGCUCGUAGGUGGUUGAUCGCGUCGGAAGUGUAAUCUUGGGGCUUAACCCUGAGCGUGCUUUCGAUACGGGUUGACUUGAGGAAGGUAGGGGAGAAUGGAAUUCCUGGUGGAGCGGUGGAAUGCGCAGAUAUCAGGAGGAACACCAGUGGCGAAGGCGGUUCUCUGGGCCUUUCCUGACGCUGAGGAGCGAAAGCGUGGGGAGCGAACAGGCUUAGAUACCCUGGUAGUCCACGCUGUAAACGGUGGGUACUAGGUGUGGGGUCCAUUCCACGGGUUCCGUGCCGUAGCUAACGCUUUAAGUACCCCGCCUGGGGAGUACGGCCGCAAGGCUAAAACUCAAAGGAAUUGACGGGGCCCCGCACAAGCGGCGGAGCAUGCGGAUUAAUUCGAUGCAACGCGUAGAACCUUACCUGGGUUUGACAUGGAUCGGGAGUGCUCAGAGAUGGGUGUGCCUCUUUUGGGGUCGGUUCACAGGUGGUGCAUGGCUGUCGUCAGCUCGUGUCGUGAGAUGUUGGGUUAAGUCCCGCAACGAGCGCAACCCUUGUUCACUGUUGCCAGCACGUUAUGGUGGGGACUCAGUGGAGACCGCCGGGGUCAACUCGGAGGAAGGUGGGGAUGACGUCAAGUCAUCAUGCCCCUUAUGUCCAGGGCUUCACGCAUGCUACAAUGGCUGGUACAGAGAGUGGCGAGCCUGUGAGGGUGAGCGAAUCUCGGAAAGCCGGUCUCAGUUCGGAUUGGGGUCUGCAACUCGAUCUCAUGAAGUCGGAGUCGCUAGUAAUCGCAGAUCAGCAACGCUGCGGUGAAUAAGUUCCCGGGGCU
rnacentral:rRNA from 1 species